CCUUUUCAUUUAUUAUCAUGCAUUUCAGUUGAAGUGAUUAUCAUGAAGGCUCUAUGUUCAUCCAUGCAUUUUAUGUGUAGACUAACAAUUCUUAAAAAUAUAGGUUCAUGCUAGAUCAUUCGUUGUUGACAAGACCCUCUCUUGGUGAUGAGAAAUGUAGUGAGAAGGGCUUUAAUCAACAUGCGUCUUUCUUCAAAGUUAUGCUUGUAUACUUUGCAGAGAAACUGGCAUUGUUGUACGUAAGUUUUUCUCAUAGGACAUGAGGAUGUCUAAUGCAGAUGAAGUGGGAUGUUUUAUUUGUAUAUGGAUGUGAAUUGAUGUAACACUGUUAUGAUGAUAUACAAUGUCCAUGAGCAAAUUGGUUUAGUUAUAUUGAUGAUAAUGUCCAUGUAUCUGUACAUGAGUACAUUGGUGUAGUUGUAUUGAUA